GAGUUUGAUCCUGGCUCAGGAUGAACGCUGGCGGCGUGCUUAACACAUGCAAGUCGAACGAAGCGUCUUAAACAGAUUUCUUCGGAUUGACGUUUUUGGCGACUGAGUGGCGGACGGGUGAGUAACGCGUGGGUAACCUGCCUCAUACAGGGGGAUAACAGUUAGAAAUGACUGCUAAUACCGCAUAAGCGCACGAUACCGCAUGGUAUUGUGUGAAAACUCCGGUGGUAUGAGAUGGACCCGCGUCUGAUUAGCUUGUUGGCGGGU
rnacentral:rRNA from 1 species